rnacentral:lncRNA from 1 species
UUUAAGGAGAUAGCAAGAUACCUUAACAUACGAUGGCCUAUUAGAGACCAAGGCAAUGCAAAUGACACACAGUCACAGAAAACUCAACAGUUGUCCGGAGCUUAAAAAUGAAUGAAAAGGAUGAACUAUCCUUAGAGCCUCAGCGUUGUGUGAGUACACCUCCCGGUCCCAGUGGCACAUCACCAGAGGAUUCAAACAUCUAAAGGUGUCCUCCAUGUCUGGCGGGAAGGUCAUCUCCAUGUUCUCUAUGUUCUUCAUCCCAGGCCGUUCUGGGCUCCAAGCCCGAAGGAGACGGCAAGGUGGACGAUCUGAGAAGACGGGGGCAGAGCGUGUGUGAGCGUGAGGACCUGAAGGAGAGCAGCAGGAAGGAGGUGCAGCAGGCCGUCAGGGAGGCGGCGGAGCAGUGGAGAAGCGUUCUAGAGAAGGCGGAGGAGGUCCUCCACAGGACUGAGCUCCAGUCCACCCUCUCCAGGGAGCUGCAGGCGUUCAGCGGCCAGGCAGAGAGUGCUGGGACCUGGCUGAAGGAGCUCCGACACCAGGCCGCCCCGCUGGAGACCCAGGUGACCCAGGGCAACCAGGAGCAGAUAGAGAGCAGGCUCAAAGCAGCGCAGACGAUCCUUGGCUCCAGGUCGAGGGCCAAGGGCUUCCUGUCAGACCUGAGCAGAGGAGCACAGAGUCUGUGUCAGCGUGAGGACCUGGAGGAGAGCAGGAGGACGGAGGUGCAGCAGACGGUCAGACAGACAGAGGAGCAGUGGAGGUCCCUCCUGAAGACUGCUGAGGGGGCGCAGAGGUACAGGAGUCAUGUCAAGUGACGUCAUGUCACCUGACGUCAUGUCAUGCGACGUCAUGGCCGGUG